rnacentral:lncRNA from 1 species
ACAGUGAAAAGAUUGUCCUAGUUUGUGCUGAUCUUUGAUAAAAUCUAUUUUUUUAUAUUGCAUGUGAUGUUUAUGAUUUGAUUUAAAUAUGAUCUAAGAUUGUGAUCAGAUUUGAUAUAAUUUAAAUUAUAUCUAAAUUUAAAUAUAUAUGAUAUAUGAUUAGAUUAGAUGAUCCGAUUAGCAAGUACUUAUAUUGGAUU